CUCGACCCUAACAUCUGAAAUGGAGGGAUAUUUAAGGAUGCGCUUGGAAGACGUCGCUGCACGAAGGAUGACAGCUUCAAAGAGGCCAUUUCAAACAAUGUUACGUCGAUUUGACCUAUGUCCUUGCCUUGUUUUCUGGGAACAAGAACAGAUGAAUUAGUGUCAGAGGUCACAGGUCAAUGUGAGCUUCUGACGGACGCACUUCGCCUCCUUCAAAGCUCUGCUGUCGUGCCCCUAAAGCUCCCAGACCUCCUGCAUCUGCUCCAAACACCAUCCGGCCCGCGGCUGCUUCGUGUCCUAGCGUCAUCCAGACGUGGGGCUGCUUCCCUUCACCCUCUGUCACCGGCAGCCCCUCUGCGCGUAGACCCUUCCGCACCAGCCUGCGAACACUUGCCAGACGGCCCAGUGUAAACAGCAGCGGGCUGGACGGGCGCCCACGCUGUGCGACAGUAAUCAUAACAGGAAGGUGCCUUCAGGAGCGUAGCGUCCUCCGGCUACGAUGGAACAAACCCCUCUCACGUCCACGUUUACAGCGACAAUAUUUACAUUAGUGAUGUGUGCGGUUGUACCUGUUUAAAUGAAAUAUGAAUACCUUUGAAUAUGAUCCUGAGCUGCUUUGUCUAUUCAAAACACUGACUUCUGUGUUAGUGUUUGUGCGUCUUCACUCUAUUUCUACAUUCUCACUGUGAUUUCAACCUUGUUGUAAAUGAGUCUCGUAAUGAACUGCUCCAGUUAAAGGUUAAAGCAUUCAGGCCGUUUCCUACUCGCUCAUUCGUGCCAGGAGUCACGGCUCGUCACCAAGCGCCGUGUUUGCUCAAAUAAAGAGCCUUGUACCUUCACAAACAAGCAGCGGGGCACGUGAGCGUGUGCCGACUCUGUCUGGGUGCUUUGCAUGCACUUGUCCACGAGUGACUCAGUGCAGUGACCUCGCAUCUGUGUGUGUGUGUGUGUGUGUGUGUGUGUGUGUGUGUGUGUGUGUGUGUGUGUGUGUGUGUGUGUGUGUGUGUGUGUGUGUGUGUGUGUGUGUGUGUGCGUGUGCGUGUGUGUGUGUGUGUGUGUGUGGUAAGUUGAUCCGUUGAAAUGCGGAUAAGCAGCUGGCGGCCCGUCAACUUUAGUACUCAUUAACUUACACAGUCUCCACCAGCGGCUCUGGACCAACAAACACUGACCGGAACAGAAGCAGAAACCUGAUGCAAGAACGUAUUAAUAUCCACCAGAGGAACUCAUUUCUAGUCAGUGGGAGCAUCUGGGGAAACGUGGACCUGUUCCAGCCGGAGAAUCGACCUCACCCCCCACCACACGCCCUGUACGCUUUCCCUGACCCUCCUUCCCUCCUGAGCUGCGUCUGUUUCCACAUUCAUUCAUUUUUAGCCUUCAACACAUUCACAUAAACACAACAAAUGACACAAACUCAUUCAUGAAAAUACAGCGGCAGUCAGUCAAGGAUUAACCACUGGAUUAUGGGAUUAAAGAGUGGGACAUGCACAACAGACACACACACACACACACACACACACACACACACACACACACACACACACACACACACACACACACACACACACACACACACACACCUCCCUGUGUGUUGUUUUUUAUGUUUAUGCUCUCAUUAUCUUGCUUUGGGGACUUGAGUUCUACUCCUAAUCCUAUGCGAAGGGAUCCCAUAUGAAUGCAUACACUAUUCAUUACAUACAGUUGCGUGUGUUUAUUCAUUUUGAGCUGAAUUAAAGCUAUAAAUUGAUAGUAAUGUAAGUAAGCAAAUACUUCUUUUUCUGAAAGAUGAAGCAAAAAACCGUGGAGUAGAUUUACAUCAUUUAGAAAUCUGCCCUCAAUAAUAUGGAUGUGAUGUGUCUGUCACUGUGACUCAGAUCCAGUGUAGUAGUGUCAUCUAAAAUGCUCUGGUUGGUCAAAGCUCGGCUAUUUUCAGUGUAAGGCGACAUGAGGUCAAGUCCAGAUACAGCACCGUGAGCAAGGUCACAGGGACAUUUGAGCAUAUACACAGCAUUGCUAGUUUUUUAUGGACAAUCCUGUGAUAAUCGCUUUAACAGCAACGUGGGCUUCCUGUCAUAUCGAUACGACCGGCACAUAAGCAGAAAUGAUUCUAGAAAGGAUGAAACAAAAACAUCACAAGAGCUGUCCAGUGUAGAAAACGAAGAAAGGAGAUGAAGGAUGUGAGCUAUUUACCAUCACUGAGCAGAGCUUGCAUCCUAACUCUCUCUCUCUCUCUCUGUCUCUCUCUCUCUCGACCACUGUAUUGAUGGAUGACGGCAUGCAGGGCGAGGGAUGAGAGGGGAUGAAUGGGUGGACAGGGGAGAGCAGGGGGAGGGAGGGGUGACAUCAGCGCUAAGUCUCUUCCUGGCCAAUCCCCUUCCCGGCCCCUGCCUGCUGUCUCCGCCCUCUUACACCUCUCCCUUGUUGCUACGGUAGCAGCGCCAUCGCGCUCAUACGAGGCAUUGUUUGGGGUUGGUAGUAAUACGACGUGGGCCUGCAAUCGUCCUUACCCUGUCAUCCAUCUUCUCUCGCUCUCCCCGUUCUCCUUCGUCAUGCUUCCCUCUCUCUCUCUCUGCGCCUGCUUUCUGCAUUCUGCUCCUCACUGUCUCGCCUUCCAUCUUCCAUUUCACCUUCUGUCACCUCUCUGUCGUAACAUUCAAGGGCCGUUCAUUCAUGAUUUAUUGGUGCCGCAGUGCUUGUCCCACAGAGUCGCACUAGUUUACACACAAGGCGACAAAAACACCGCAAAUGUGCAGUAGGAGCUUGGAGGUUGCAGAUUCAGGACAAAGAAAUAUGAAUAAUAGCAAAUGUCCCACUUUAAGCAUACAGGCAGGGAGGAUGUGAUGAAUUGCAUUAUGGGAAAUUUACAACAAACAUUCUUUGCUUCUUGCAAUUCUCUUAAAUGUGUAUAAUAGCAAUACUAACAUUUUUAAGUGUGUACUUGAAAUUAUGGAGGAUUUACUACUAUUUUUUUAUUUAUAUUAUUUUUUUUAUUUCACCUUUCUAGAUUAAAAUGUAAAAAUAAGUAUAUGAAAUAAAUUCAAGCAGGUUGGGAAGGAAGAGCUUUCAAUACUCUUUCUGCAUGUCUUUUCAAAAUCUGCUGUCACGUCAUAGCUACAGUUUCUCAAGUAAGAAAGACAUAAACACGCUCAAUCAAUCACUACCAUAUAAUAAAACGUUAUCAUCCGACUGUUCUACAGGUUGUCUGGUCGUGUCUUUGUGUCUGUGUUUACCUUUCAUCUGCUGCCGUGCUGCUCUCUUUCCUCCCGUAACCAUGGAAAUGAGAUCAACAUGCAAAUACCUGAGCACGCUCGCUGUGGGCCUGCGAUAGAAGAUGCAAAUGACAUUUCCGCUUGUAGGAUUACACACACACACACACACACACACACACACACACACACACACA